GGGCAGGCAGCCCUUCCUGUCUCACAUGAUGGGGGCGGUAGCCGCCGAGAGGCUCCGCAUCAUGGCGCCGGCACUCCUUGGAGGCAUGACGGACUCUCUUGUGCCCUCCCGUGGGGGUGUGUCUCCGCGGGCAGCGUCUCCUUCUGCGCUGAGUCCUUUCCCCGCCCCGGGAGAGGGGAGCGCUGCGCUGGGCUUGCGGUCAGCACCGCCGGCAGUGCCCGCCGCAGUGCCCUCUGCUGACGCUGCGGACGGCAUCACCGGGGCACCGGCUGGUUCAGCUCCACCUUCCCCGACCACCGUGGGGGCCGGGACUGCGGCACGGCAGGGCGCUGGGGUGUUCAGUUUUACCGCAACUGCUGACGCGGGCGGCAGAAGACCGGUGACUCCCCAUGGCCGCGGAUCCUCCCCGUCAACUCUGUGGACCCUCCCUGCCUGCCAGGUGACCGUGCGUCCAAAGGACCGUGGGCGAUUUUGGAACGAGGUCCGGGAUAAGGCUGAGGAGAUGUGUGACUAUGCCCACCCACGGAGCCUGCCGGAUCACGGGGAAGGCUCCUUUGGCUCUGCUGAUGCUGCAGGGGGUGUGGUGUCCUGUGAUGUGUCACUGCCUCGCAGCCCAGGGGCUGCCGCUGUCCCAGGGUCCACGGGACGUGACACGGUGGGUGAUACAGCUUUACCAGGGUGUCCCCAAGCUUUCCCUGUGCUCAGGGGUGUUACUCAUAACACUCACCAGCCUGUUCCGUAUAAGAUCUUGAGGGACAUCCGACACGCCGUUGCACAGCAUGGUCUUGGGUCUGAUGAGGUUAUGCACAUGAUUCGGUCCUUUGUUGAUGACCUGCUAACGCCUUCCGAUAUUCGUUCUGUGGCACGGGUUCUUUUUAACCCUGUGCAACUUGGCGUGUUUCAGGACAAGUGGUCUGCCUUAGCGGCCAGAGCAGUGCAGAAGAAUGCUACACGGGGGCAGCAGGAUCCCAGGCGUGUGGUCACGAUUGACAUGCUGAUGGGCACAGGCAAUUAUGUUGAUCCUUAGGGGCAGGCUGGAUAUGAUCCUCUUGUACUGGAACAGUGCAGGACAUUAGGCUUAGCAGCUGUGAUCCAGACCCUAGAAAUGGCCGCUCCGAAGGAAUCCUAUUUGACUGUUGUUCAAAAGGAUGAUGAAUCAUUUAUGGACUUUGCAGGGAGGUUGAUAGCCUCUGUGGAACGACAGAUAGCAGAACCUGAGCUGAGGCAGCUAGCCAUUGCGAGCCUCGUUAGGACGCAAUGCAAUGCAGAAUGCAGAGUUAUACGGACUCUUCCUGAAGGG
rnacentral:lncRNA from 1 species